rnacentral:rRNA from 1 species
CAGCCGCCACGGUAAAACGUAGGGCGCAAGCGUUAUCCGGAAUUAUUGGGCGUAAAGAGCUCGUAGGCGGUUUGUCGCGUCUGCCGUGAAAGUCCGGGGCUCAACCCCGGAUCUGCGGUGGGUACGGGCAGACUAGAGUGAUGUAGGGGAGACUGGAAUUCCUGGUGUAGCGGUGAAAUGCGCAGAUAUCAGGAGGAACACCGAUGGCGAAGGCAGGUCUCUGGGCAUUAACUGACGCUGAGGAGCGAAAGCAUGGGGAGCGAACAGGAUUAGAUACCCCAGUAGUCCCUUCUCUUAUACA